AAAACAAAAAAAAAAAAAAGGACCUCAAAAUUGUUGUUUAAAUACCAUUUAGAGCACAACACUUGGCAGAUUAUGUUGAAAUUCUAACAAAUCAAUUUCUCUGUUUUUCUUUGCUUCUAAGCAUACUCCUUGCUUCCUUAGUUAAUAUACCAGAGGUUGUGAUCAUUAAGCAUGCAAUAAAGAGCUCUAAACUGCUCAAAAUAAUGUUAAAGUUACCGACAAACAAUUGAGUACAACUGAAACAUAUUGCUAAUAAAUCCCAAUGCUUGCAACCCAAUUUGGAGACUGGAGGCAUUCAUAAAGAUAGGUGAAGCCAUAGAUUUAACAGGCAUAAGGAUUUAAAACUACACAAUGAAAAAGGAAAAACAGCUUGCAAUAGAAAAGGGCAAGCUCGCAUUUAAGCAGCAGUAGGCAACGAGAUAAUACUAUAAUUGUGGUUAAUAUUAGAGGUGGUUGCCCUUAUGCCAGUGGACAGUUAAGUAUACAGAAAAACACAAAAUAGGCAAAUAUAAAAAGUAUAAAUAGAAUUUAGCAAACAGAAACAAACAAAUCAGAGUCGGUCACCUUCUUCACCGAAGCAGACCAUGA
rnacentral:misc_RNA from 1 species